rnacentral:rRNA from 1 species
CCUACGGGAAGGCUGCAGUGGGGAAUAUUGCGCAAUGGGGGGAACCCUGACGCAGCAACGCCGCGUGAAGGAAGAAGGUCUUCGGAUUGUAAACUUCUUUGAUGAGGGACGAAGUAAGUGACGGUACCUCAAAAACAAGCCACGGCUAACUACGUGCCAGCAGCCGCGGUAAUACGUAGGUGGCGAGCGUUGUCCGGAAUUACUGGGUGUAAAGGGCGUGUAGGCGGGGAUGCAAGUCAGAUGUGAAAGACCGGGGCUCAACUCCGGGGUUGCACUUGAAACUGGGCAUCUUGAGGGCAGGAGAGGAAAGUGGAAUUCCUGGUGUAGCGGUGAAAUGCGUAGAUAUCAGGAGGAACACCGGUGGCGAAGGCGGCUUUCUGGACUGACCCUGACGCUGAGACGCGAAAGCGUGGGUAGCAAACAGGAUUAGAUACCCUGGUAGUC